rnacentral:rRNA from 1 species
UACAGAGGUCUCAAGCGUUGUUCGGAUUCAUUGGGCGUAAAGGGCGCGUAGGCGGCGGGGUCAGUCGGGUGUGAAAUCUUGGGGCUUAACCCCGAAACGGCACUCGAAACUGCCCGGCUGGAGGGCCGGAGAGGAGAUCGGAAUUCACGGUGUAGCAGUGAAAUGCGUAGAGAUCGUGAGGAAGACCCGUGGCGAAGGCGGGUCCCUGGACAGUUCCUGACACUGAGGCACGAAGGCCAGGGGAGCAAACGGG